AUUGAACGCUGGCGGCAGGCCUAACACAUGCAAGUCGAACGAGUGGCGGACGGGUGAGUAAUGUCUGGGACACUGCCUGAUGGAGGGGGAUAACUACUGGAAACGGUAGCUAAUACCGCAUACCAUCGGAUGUGCCCAGAUGGGAGUAGCUAGUAGGUGGGGUAACGGCUCACCUAGGCGACGAUCCCUAGCUGGUCUGCGAGGAUGACCAGCCACACUGGAACUGAGAAACGGUCCAGAGGCCUACGGGAGGCAGAAGUGGGGAAUAUUGCACAAUGGGCGCAAGCCUGAUGCAGCAAUGCAGCGUGUAUGAAGAAGGCCUUCGGGUUGUAAAGUACUUUCAGCGGGGAGGCGUUACCCGCAGAAGAAGCACCGGCUAACGCCGUGCCAGCAGCCGCGGUAAUAC
rnacentral:rRNA from 1 species